CUCUGCUGUCUGGACGAGUGGCUCUCUGGGGAACAAUGGUGUGGGAACAAGAACACCAUUGUUGUUCCUCUUUCCAUUUAUUUUUGGAGGAACUCAGGAAAGUGUUUGACCAGGCUGCAUCUGGCAGGGAGGCGGCAAGGGAAUUGGCUGAGUUACUUCAAGGAGAUCUAUCAGUUACGGAUUACUCUACUGAGUUUCGCACAUUGGCAGCGGAAUGCAAAUGGAACCAAGACGCACAGUGGGACAUGUUUAGGCAUGGGUUGGCCGACCAGAUAGUUAAGGAAAUUUACACUCUGGAAUUACCCACUUCACUUGACGGAUUGAUUGAUCUGGCCAUCCGAGGGGACAUUAGACUACAUCAGCUUGACCAGUUCACAGCUAUGGCAACGAAGAUGACCGAUCAUCAUUUCGAUCCCAUCACCCAUGCCACUGGGGAGGCCAUGGAGAAAUAUAUUUCUGAUUCUCUUGCAGCCAAGAUCAUCCGUCCUUCUUCUCCUGCAAGUGUGGGAUUUUUCUUUGUGGAAAAGAAAGAUGGUUCCCUGCAUCCUUCUAUCGACUAUCUAGGGUUCAAUAGUAUCACGGUAAAGAAUAAUGGCUGUUAUUGCACUUAUUUGCACUUAUCAAUUUACCCAUGUUGGACUAUACUAUUAUCCUACUGCUAUUUUUCUUGCCAUUUUAAAUUUUUUAAACUAUUAAGUUUUUCUAAUUUUUAUAUUUAUACAUUGUCCAGUACUUUUAACUGAAUCUGAAUGUCUUCUAUAUUUAUGACUGUGUAUUUAAAUGUCGGUAUGUCGUGUGUAACUUCAUGUUGCCUUGUACCCUGAGUCUUAUCUCGGCCAGGUCGCAGUUGCAAAUGAGAACCUGUUCUCAACCGAUUAACCUGGUUAAAUAAAGGUAAAAUAAAAUAAAUAAAUAAAUUUGCCGUUGAUGUCUUAAGCCUUCGAGAGUCUCCAGGGUGCUUCCUUUUUCACUAAGUGGAUCUUCACAAUGCCUAUAAAUUGGUUUGCAUAAGGGAGGGGGAUGAAUGAAAG
ensembl:lncRNA